ensembl:lncRNA
UUACAAGGAGGAAAAUAACUGCUGAUUUCACUGCAAGGAAUGGUCUGCUGCAAUUUUUUUUUUGUUUGAAACAGAAGAAUUCCUUCUCACUUUCCUGAUGUCUAUUUUUUCCACAUGUUAAUAUCCCUGAAAGUGGGAUGCAUCUUAAAUCCAUGGCAUUGAACAAUUGCUCUUAGCAAAAUGUCAGUCACAGCAUAAUUGUAAUUAUCUAUGCAUGUGUGUGAUGUAUAAACUUUGUUAUAGCUUUUAAUAUUAUCCAGGUUUCAACUGAAUUCUGUGCAUUGUUGUUAUAUAUUAGCAUCUUCGUGUAUUUAAGUGCUUUUCAACUGUCUUUUAUAAGAUAACUGUAAGACAGAUCCUUGAAUGUUCCUUGUCCGACCCAGUUCUUGCAACUUUGGAGCAGAAUGUACCAAGAAUGUAACUCCCCGAAAUAAAGAAGAACCCUCCAGAAUAGCUUAAGAUUUUUCCUCGUCUCUCCAAGAAGAGGAUGUUUUGCAACACUUGAACUCAGGAAACCAAGUUGCCUUCAGGAUAUAAAACCCAGAAGAGUGGGAUUUUGAGGCUUUUACUUUGAUGCAAAUUGGGGCACAUGCAGAUUGAUUUCAUCCAUUUUGCACAACUCUCCUGAACCAGGGGGAAUCAGCUCACCAUGGAGUCCAGGUUUCUGUUAAUCCCUGCUGCCUAUCUGUGUGCCCUGUAAAAAGAGAGCUUAAAAAGAAGAAUACACUUAUUGUGAGCUUCAAGAUCUAUGAAAAAACAGUUUACUGACAAUGUUGAAAUUUACAUGAGCCCUGUAAUUCUGGAAAACAGCUAUGGAUAAAGAAUUGCACCACCACUUUCAUUUUCUGGAAAAUGACACCCUUCCUGGUUAUAAUUCUAAAGGUGUUUGCUGUUUAAAACUGAUUCAGGUAAUCUCUCAGAGCAAAGGCAACUUUAUUUGGAAUACUAAACUAUAAGCUCUGAUAAGACCAGAGAUUUCUGUCUAUAUCCGGAAGAUCUGGGACGUGGUUGGCAUCAUUGCAGUAAUCUCUGGAGUUACCCACAUCCUGGAACUGAUCUCUUUUUGUGUAUAGGAUUCAACAGUACCACUACCCUACCAUGUCUGGCUACAAACUCU